AGCAUGGCAUUGUAUGGGUCCUCCCUAACGACCCAGCUCGUCAGUGGGCGGCACUAUUCUAUAAAUUAAUCACAUGCUAAUAGGAUUUCAGAGAGGAUAAUAAACUAAUCAAUCCGGUGAGAAUAAGCUAGGUUGAACAACGAGCUAUAGGAAUGUUUCACCCAAAACGAGCUCUGUCUCUAACACAUUCAAACGACGCACUUUGUAACCACCCGUCCUGUUAAAUCAGAAGCUGGACACAAGUGGCGUCAACAAGAACGCAACACAAGUAAGACUUGAUCAAACACGAGCGCAGCAUAAGUGAGAAUCGGUCAAACAAGAACGCAACACAAGUGAGACAUGGUAAAACAACAGCGCAACACAAGUGAGAAUCGGUCAAACUCGGGCGCAACACAGUGAGACCUGGUUAAACACGAGUGCAUCAUGAGUCUUAGACAAUCACCAGCGCAACACAAGUGAGAAUCGGUCAAACACGGGCGCAACACGGUGAGACCUGGUUAAACACGAGCGCAACACAAGUGAGACAUGGUAAAACACCAGCGCAACAAAAGUGAUAAUCGUUUAAACACGGGCGCAACACAAGUUAGAAUCGGUGUGAAACACAAGCUCAAGAAAGUAAUAAGCAGUUGCGUUCUUUGGUUCUUAUUUGUGCUAACGAGGAGCAGCGAUUAUCAAAAUAUCAUUAUCAAAGAUAAAAAAAAAUACUCAUAUGCUAUAUAGGCAAGAUCAUAAAAAUAGAUAACGAUUUCACGAUUAAGCAUUUUAGCAGAUGUGCUUGAGGAUGCACUUUAGACAUGGGAUAUCUACUCGUUUUUUUUUUUUUUUUUAAUUGACACCUGAUCACCGGGUGUUGUUAUGAGCGAAAAUGCUAGGUAUUUUAUCUGCGUAUAGAUAUCCUAAAUUGACCUAAAGGCUAUUAAUUUUAUCGAUCGAGACUGCCUUCAAGAAUAGAAAUUUGACUCUGUUGGAGCCAAAAAGUCGAAGUAACUGAAUAUGUCUUUUCUCCCCGACUGCUAUUAGGCCAGGAAAAAAAAAUCCGUCCUGCCAUUUAUUCUAAUGGCACUCCGAACUGGUUAAGGGCAGAGAAUCAACGAUAUAUCUACACAGACUCCAUCGAAAUAAUAAUGACUUACAAUUAAAAGUAUUAUGUUAUGUAUUUGAUGAAUUACCAAAUGAUCAGUUAAAUGAUUUGAUUGUAAGUGACAAUAUUAUAAAAACAAGUGAUUCCCCCCAAAA